rnacentral:rRNA from 1 species
UACGGAGGGUGCAAGCGUUAAUCGGAAUUACUGGGCGUAAAGCGCACGCAGGUGGCUGAGUCAGUCGAUUGUGAAAGCCCUGGGCUUAACCUGGGAAUUGCAGUCGAUACUACUCAGCUAGAGUAUGGGAGAGGGUAGUGGAAUUCCCGGUGUAGCGGUGAAAUGCGUAGAUAGUCGGGAGGAACAUCAGUGGCGAAGGCGGCUACCUGGCCCAAUACUGACACUCAGGUGCGACAGCGUGGGGAGCAAACAGGG